GACGAACGCUGGCGGCGUGCUUAACACAUGCAAGUCGAACGGAAAGGCCUCUUUCGGGGGGUACUCGAGUGGCGAACGGGUGAGUAACACGUGAGUAACCUGCCCUUGACUUUGGGAUAACUUCAGGAAACUGGGGCUAAUACCGGAUAGGAGCUCCUGCUGCAUGGUGGGGGUUGGAAAGUUUCGGCGGUUGGGGAUGGACUCGCGGCUUAUCAGCUUGUUGGUGGGGUAGUGGCUUACCAAGGCUUUGACGGGUAGCCGGCCUGAGAGGGUGACCGGCCACAUUGGGACUGAGAUACGGCCCAGACUCCUACGGGAGGCAGCAGUGGGGAAUAUUGCACAAUGGAUGGAAGCCUGAUGCAGCAACGCCGUGUGCGGGAUGACGGCCUUCGGGUUGUAAACCGCUUUCGCUCAUGACGAAGCUUUGUGUGACGGUAGUGGGUAAAGAAGCACCGGCUAACUACGUG
rnacentral:rRNA from 1 species